rnacentral:lncRNA from 1 species
GCGCCCGCACCCACCACGCUGAGAUGCGCUGGGCCCUGUGGGGUCGGGGCUGCCGGAUGGUGCAGCCGGGCAACCCUCAGGCUUGCUCUUCUACGGGGGCAUCCGGAAGCUGCUGUUCAGGGCUCCAGAGACUUUAUUUUGGAUCGUGCUGGGCUGGCACCGAGCUAGGCAGUCCUGGCUCUUGUUCAGACCUGUUGAGUCCAGAUGCUUGGGUGUUUUCCACUUGAGUCCCCUGGGGGAGGGCUGGUCACAGAGCGCCUUAGGGGUUGGGGCAGAGGAAAAAGGACAAAUGAGAUCCAGGCAGAGACAGGGCCCUCCUGACAGAGGGAUGAGAUUGGGUGGGGAGGCCACGUGUCCUGACCCUGGCAAGGCUGGUCCACCUGGCCGGGGCGCGUCUCCCUCUUGAGGAUCAGCCAGCGGGGGCUUCAGGCUUCCUGCUGUGGUCCCGGCUCGGAGCCUCUCUGCCUUACUUGCUGCCAGUGUGUCCUACAAUCUGGACCGGCUGGGGCAGGGAGAAGCCUUACCCCGGCAGUGCCUAUCCCCAGCAUCUCGGGGGCAUGGCCUGAGGAGACCUGGGGUGACCGUGAAGGCCAGUGUCCCUUCCCCGCUGUCCUGUGGCCCCAGCUUGGAGCUCCCUAAAGCCCCCUCCAUCAUGCCAGAUGUCAGAGCAGUACGCACCCUGCUCACCCCUGCCCCUUCCUUCUAUUUUAUCGAUGGAAAAACUGAGAUUCCUGGGCUCUGCUUGUUUGGCCAGACCCUAAGGUGGCUGUGGCUUCUCCAGCAUCCGCAUCAGCCUUGGGGAUACCCUCCUCUUCCUGGGCUCUCCAGGCAGCUCCGGCAGCUGCCCAGCAACCCCGCCCCCCCACCGCCGGCUCUGCUUCCUGCCAAGGUUCUUCCCCCCAGGUCUCUCUGGACCUCUUUGUUGUCCUCAUUGGUGUUCACAACACCUUCCAAUUUAAUAUCCUCUGCAAAUUUCAUUAACGGACUGUUUACUCCCUCUCUCAGGAUCAUUAAUGAAGAUGUUAGAUAGGAUGUGACCCAGCGCCAGCUUGACAGCCCUGCCCCACACCCAGCUCUGCCUCCUAGCCCCUUCCCCGGGGACCCUUGGGACCUGGCCCUUCCUGCUCUUGGGUCCCCUGACAAAUGCUUAAGGCCUAGUCUGUUUGAAUUAACUUUGUGAGAUUACUCGGGGCGCUGUAUCAAAAGCUUUGCUAAAAAUCAAGAUAUAUUACCUUGCCUGCAUUUCCUUCAUCUACCAGUCUUGUAAUUCUAUCAAGAAAGCUAUCAAGUUUGUCAGGCAUGAUUUGUUCUUUAUAAAUCCCCCCCGGUGCCUAGUGGGGCACAGGGUUCCCGGAGUUUUCUAAAUGUUUAGAGAUUCCCUUCAAGUGCUUGCGCCUUGAUUAGAGCCAGAAGACUAUGGGCUGGGAAAGAUCUGGAAAGCUGUCUGCUUCACCGGGAUGGGGAGGAAGCAGCCCAUGGCCUCUCUGGUCUCUGCGGUGACAGUGAGUGGUUUAGGACCUCUCCGCCCACUGACAGCCCCCUGCAGUGUGCUGGGGACCCCAAGCUAGGUGCUGGGCAGAGAUGGGUGGAGGGGUCCCUGGUGCUGUCCUUCAAGGGUUCUGCAGGGCAGAGGAAAUGACGGAGCCUGACGUCUCUGACAUUCUGGAGGUCCCACUAAUUGAGUGAUGGCUGCAGACCAGUCACUUUGCUGGGAGCUUUCUGUGCUUGAUCUCGGUUGAGUCUGGGGAGUGGGCAUGGCCUCCCCUGCCCUCUGGCACUCAGAGGGCAAAGCUGCCCAGGACCGCAGGGCUGGCUUUCACCUUCUGCAGCACAGUGUUGCAGGAGGUCCGAGUGGGGAAGGAAGGCAAGGCCUGGAGGCAGGGGUAAAGUGUGGGGAGGCGAGCACACCACGCACACCGCCCCGUUCUGUUCUCCCGCCUUGCCCUGCCUGUGCCGAGUGGGAGCAGCUCCUUCACCUUCUGAGCCUCACCUGGGAAGUAGACGCAGCUGCAGUCCAUAGCCCUGGACUCGCAGAGGGUCCACUGUGGUGAUGCAUGGCAGGUGUCCCCCCCAUGGGGCUGGGGCUGGAGAGCAGCUGCCAGUUGGCUUAUCACGGAAGCCCCUUUGCUGUCUGCUGAGAGCCAUUCAUCCCUUUGCCCAUGUGCCUCAUGGGGGACUCUUCCUAAUGCUUGUUACCCAGGGGACUGAGGCGGUGGCAGCCUGGCGCAGGCAUGUCCUGUUCCAGAUUACUUCUAGCCAGGUGCUCAUGGAGACCUUCUCGGUGGCCUCCUGGUGGCAUGGGGUUGGGGCAUUCCUGGGCUCCUCGGCCAUAAAGCCCCUCAAGCCUCCCUGUACUUACCUAGCCCAGAUCCGAGGCCCUGAUGGGGAGCUGAGCGGGUCCGGGCUCCUGCUUCUGGGGGCCCACUGGCCCCGUGUUCACAGCUGUUCACGGUAAUCUUUGUUCUUGUCAUUCAGCCGGGAAGGGUGGUCUUCGGGCAAGUGGUGGGAUGGCACAGACCGGGGAGGGCCUCAGGUGGACGUCUUAGGGACUCGAUCCUGCACAUGGUGGGUAGGUAUUGGAUGAGCCACUGUCUGGGUGGGGGAGGUGGCUGUGGCCAGGAUGGGCAUUAGUGUGUCUGGGAGCCUGCUGGCCACCCUCGGUCCUGGCACCCCUGGCCCGUCUGUCUGGUGUCCCAGUUCUGGGUGAUGUUCUUGCUCUUGUGACGUGGGGUUUAAAGCUCUAUGCUUAGGGGCAGCUGAGUCUAAAUCCUAAAGUGCUCGGACGAGUGUCCCCUACCGGCCCAAGCCUCACGGGGAAGGUGGCACUGGCAGGAGGCAAGUAGCCUCAGCUCCAGCCAGGUCCGUGGUCAUCUCUGGGUGUCUGCACCUGUGGCCACUUCCGCCCGUAAGACUCAGGACCCUUGCCGGAGAUUCAACUCAGUGGUUCUGCCGCCUGCCUCGCAAGUGCAAGGUCCCGAAUUUGAUUCCAGGUACCAGAAAAAAAAAAAGACUCAGGGUCCCAUCCCACCCCACAUCCUCACAGGGCCGGCCCCUGUUGAUAUUUUCUUCCCAUCCCUGAAGCUGGGAUCCAGGGG